rnacentral:tRNA from 1 species
GGAGAUGUAUCUUAGUGGUGAAGUGCUUGCCUAGCAUGCCAGAGGCCCUGGGUUCAAGUCCCAGCAUCCCCC